rnacentral:rRNA from 1 species
GCUUAACACAUGCAAGUCGAGGGGCAGCAUGCUUUUAGCUUGCUAAGGCCGAUGGCGACCGGCGCACGGGUGAGUAACACGUAUCCAACCUGCCGUCUACUCUUGGACAGCCUUCUGAAAGGAAGAUUAAUACAAGAUGGCAUCAUGAGUCCGCAUGUUCACAUGAUUAAAGGUAUUCCGGUAGACGAUGGGGAUGCGUUCCAUUAGAUAGUAGGCGGGGUAACGGCCCACCUAGUCUUCGAUGGAUAGGGGUUCUGAGAGGAAGAUCCCCCACAUUGGAACUGAGACACGGUCCAAACUCCUACGGGAGGCAGCAGUGAGGAAUAUUGGUCAAUGGGCGAGAGCCUGAACCAGCCAAGUAGCGUGAAGGAUGACUGCCCUAUGGGUUGUAAACUUCUUUUAUAAAGGAAUAAAGUCGGGUAUGGAUACCCGUUUGCAUGUACUUUAUGAAUAAGGAUCGGCUAACUCCGUGCCAGCAGCCGCGGUAAUACGGAGGAUCCGAGCGUUAUCCGGAUUUAUUGGGUUUAAAGGGAGCGUAGAUGGAUGUUUAAGUCAGUUGUGAAAGUUUGCGGCUCAACCGUAAAAUUGCAGUUGAUACUGGAUAUCUUGAGUGCAGUUGAGGCAGGCGGAAUUCGUGGUGUAGCGGUGAAAUGCUUAGAUAUCACGAAGAACUCCGAUUGCGAAGGCAGCCUGCUAAGCUGCAACUGACAUUGAGGCUCGAAAGUGUGGGUAUCAAACAGGAUUAGAUACCCUGGUAGUCCACACGGUAAACGAUGAAUACUCGCUGUUUGCGAUAUACGGCAAGCGGCCAAGCGAAAGCGUUAAGUAUUCCACCUGGGGAGUACGCCGGCAACGGUGAAACUCAAAGGAAUUGACGGGGGCCCGCACAAGCGGAGGAACAUGUGGUUUAAUUCGAUGAUACGCGAGGAACCUUACCCGGGCUUAAAUUGCAGAUGAAUUACGGUGAAAGCCGUAAGCUGCAAGGCAUCUGUGAAGGUGCUGCAUGGUUGUCGUCAGCUCGUGCCGUGAGGUGUCGGCUUAAGUGCCAUAACGAGCGCAACCCUUGUUGUCAGUUACUAACAGGUUCUGCUGAGGACUCUGACAAGACUGCCAUCGUAAGAUGUGAGGAAGGUGGGGAUGACGUCAAAUCAGCACGGCCCUUACGUCCGGGGCUACACACGUGUUACAAUGGGGGGUACAGAGGGCCGCUACCACGCGAGUGGAUGCCAAUCCCAAAAACCUCUCUCAGUUCGGACUGGAGUCUGCAACCCGACUCCACGAAGCUGGAUUCGCUAGUAAUCGCGCAUCAGCCACGGCGCGGUGAAUACGUUCCCGGGCCUUGUACACACCGCCCGUCAAGCCAUGGGAGCCGGGGGUACCUGAAGUGCGUAACCGCGAGGAGCGCCCUAGGGUAAAACUGGUGACUG